ACGGUAUGUCUGAUAAUCGCUAUGCAUUUCAAGUGCAUAGAGGAAAGUCCAUGCUCACACGAUCCUGAGAUGGUCGUAGUGUUCGUGCCUGACGAAACAAUAAGUCAGGGCAGCUCGUUUAAGACGGCUGACGGCUGUGAACCGGCCUAAGUGUGUAUUCAUAUGGCCCCAGUAACUUUAAAAGUGCCACAGUGACGGAGCUUCAGCAGAAAUGCAUGAAGGUGGAACGCGGUAAACCCCUCGAGUGAGCAAUCCAAAUUAGGUAGGAGCACUUUCCAACGGAAAUUCAACCGGCGGAGAGAUACUGCAACGGCAGUAUAGACAGAUGAUUAUCCCCAAUGUGCGAGUGUAGCUAGUGCACGCCUGCAGCACAGCGGUACAGAACAUGGCUUAUAGAGAUACCGGACUA
rnacentral:RNase_P_RNA from 1 species